rnacentral:rRNA from 1 species
GACGAACGCUGGCGGCGUGCUUAACACAUGCAAGUCGAACGGAAAGGCCCUGCUUUUGUGGGGUGCUCGAGUGGCGAACGGGUGAGCAACACGUGAGUAACCUGCCCUUGACUUUGGGAUAACUUCAGGAAACUGGGGCUAAUACCGGAUAGGAGCUCCUGCUGCAUGGUGGGGGUUGGAAAGUUUCGGCGGUUGGGGAUGGACUCGCGGCUUAUCAGCUUGUUGGUGGGGUAGUGGCUUACCAAGGCUUUGACGGGUAGCCGGCCUGAGAGGGUGACCGGCCACAUUGGGACUGAGAUACGGCCCAGACUCCUACGGGAGGCAGCAGUGGGGAAUAUUGCACAAUGGGCGGAAGCCUGAUGCAGCAACGCCGCGUGCGGGAUGACGGCCUUCGGGUUGUAAACCGCUUUCGCCUGUGACGAAGCGUGAGUGACGGUAAUGGGUAAAGAAGCACCGGCUAACUACGUGCCAGCAGCCGCGGUGAUACGUAGGGUGCGAGCGUUGUCCGGAUUUAUUGGGCGUAAAGGGCUCGUAGGUGGUUGAUCGCGUCGGAAGUGUAAUCUUGGGGCUUAACCCUGAGCGUGCUUUCGAUACGGGUUGACUUGAGGAAGGUAGGGGAGAAUGGAAUUCCUGGUGGAGCGGUGGAAUGCGCAGAUAUCAGGAGGAACACCAGUGGCGAAGGCGGUUCUCUGGGCCUUUCCUGACGCUGAGGAGCGAAAGCGUGGGGAGCGAACAGGCUUAGAUACCCUGGUAGUCCACGCUGUAAACGGUGGGUACUAGGUGUGGGGUCCAUUCCACGGGUUCCGUGCCGUAGCUAACGCUUUAAGUACCCCGCCUGGGGAGUACGGCCGCAAGGCUAAAACUCAAAGGAAUUGACGGGGCCCCGCACAAGCGGCGGAGCAUGCGGAUUAAUUCGAUGCAACGCGUAGAACCUUACCUGGGUUUGACAUGGAUCGGGAGUGCUCAGAGAUGGGUGUGCCUCUUUUGGGGUCGGUUCACAGGUGGUGCAUGCCUGUCGUCAGCUCGUGUCGUGAGAUGUUGGGUUAAGUCCCGCAACGAGCGCAACCCUUGUUCACUGUUGCCAGCACGUUAUGGUGGGGACUCAGUGGAGACCGCCGGGGUCAACUCGGAGGAAGGUGGGGAUGACGUCAAGUCAUCAUGCCCCUUAUGUCCAGGGCUUCACGCAUGCUACAAUGGCCGGUACAGAGAGUGGCGAGCCUGUGAGGGUGAGCGAAUCUCGGAAAGCCGGUCUCAGUUCGGAUUGGGGUCUGCAACUCGACCUCAUGAAGUCGGAGUCGCUAGUAAUCGCAGAUCAGCAACGCUGCGGUGAAUACGUUCCCGGGGCU